GAUGAACGCUAGCGGCAGGCCUAAUACAUGCAAGUCGUACGGGAUUUCAUCUUUCGGGAUGAAUGAGAGUGGCGCACGGGUGCGUAACGCGUAUGCAACCUACCUGUUACAGGGAGAUAGCCCGGGGAAACUCGGAUUAAUAUUCCAUAGUAUAUAAUCGUUGCAUGGUGAUUAUAUUAAAGCCUUCGGGUGGUAACAGAUGGGCAUGCGUAGGAUUAGCUAGUUGGCGAGGUAACGGCUCACCAAGGCGACGAUCCUUAGGGGUUCUGAGAGGAAGGUCCCCCACACUGGCACUGAGAUACGGGCCAGACUCCUACGGGAGGCAGCAGUAGGGAAUAUUGGUCAAUGGGCGAGAGCCUGAACCAGCCAUGCCGCGUGCAGGAAGACGGCGUUCUGCGUUGUAAACUGCUUUUAUCUGGGAAGAAAAAGCCCUUGCGAGGGAAAUUGCCGGUACCAGAAGAAUAAGCACCGGCUAA
rnacentral:rRNA from 1 species